rnacentral:rRNA from 1 species
AUUGAACGCUGGCGGCAUGCCUAACACAUGCAAGUCGAACGGAGGUAGGGGCAACUCUACUUCAGUGGCGGACGGGUGAGGAAUGCGUCGGAAUCUACCCUAUGGUGGGGGAUAACACAGGGAAACUUGUGCUAAUACCGCAUAAUGUCGAGAGACCAAAGCAGGGGACCGCAAGGCCUUGCGCGAUAGGAUGAGCCGACGCGCGAUUAGAUUGUUGGUAGGGUAAAGGCCUACCAAGGCGACGAACGGUAGGUGGUCUGAGAGGAUGAUCAGCCACACUGGGACUGAGACACGGCCCAGACUCCUACGGGAGGCAGCAGUGGGGAAUAUUGGACAAUGGGCGCAAGCCUGAUCCAGCAAUGCCGCGUGUGUGAAGAAGGCCUGCGGGUUGUAAAGCACUUUUGUUCGGGAAGAAAUCAUGCUGGUUAAUACCUGGUAUGGAUGACGGUACCGAAAGAAUAAGCACCGGCUAACUUCGUGCCAGCAGCCGCCGUAAUAC